UACGGAGGGAGCUAGCGUUGUUCGGAAUUACUGGGCGUAAAGCGCGCGUAGGCGGCUUUGUAAGUUAGAGGUGAAAGCCCGGGGCUCAACCCCGGAACUGCCUUUAAGACUGCAUCGCUUGAAUCCAGGAGAGGUGAGUGGAAUUCCGAGUGUAGAGGUGAAAUUCGUAGAUGAUUCGGAAGAACACCAGUGGCGAAGGCGGCUCACUGGACUGGUAUUGACGCUGAUGUGCGAAAGCGUGGGGAGCAAACAGG
rnacentral:rRNA from 1 species